rnacentral:tRNA from 1 species
GGCGAAGUGAUCGUUCUGGGUGGGCGCCGCGCCUGCAAAACGCGUGAUACGGGUUCGAGUCCCGGCUUCGCCUC